rnacentral:tRNA from 1 species
GCUGGUGUAGCUCAAUUUGGACAAGAGCGGCUGUCUUGUAAACAGCGGGUUGCAGGUUCGAGUCCUGUCUCCAGCU